GACGAACGCUGGCGGCGUGCUUAACACAUGCAAGUCGAACGGAAAGGCCCUGCUUUUGUGGGGUGCUCGAGUGGCGAACGGGUGAGUAACACGUGAGUAACCUGCCCUUGACUUUGGGAUAACUUCAGGAAACUGGGGCUAAUACCGGAUAGGAGCUCCCGCUGCAUGGUGGGGGUUGGAAAGUUUCGGCGGUCGGGGAUGGACUCGCGGCUUAUCCGCUUGUUGGUGGGGUGGUGGCUUACCAAGGCUUUGACGGGUCGCCGGCCUGAGAGGGUGACCGGCCCAGUCGCGACUGAGAGGCGGCAGAGGCGACUACGGGAGGCAGCAGGGGAGAAUAGUGCAGCAAGGGCGGAUGGGUGAUGCAGCAACGCCGCGUGUGGAAUGACGGUCUUGGGGUUGAAAACCGCUUUCGCAUGUGACGAAGGGUGAGACGGUACCAAGAGUAAAGACGCCGGCUAUAACUGCG
rnacentral:rRNA from 1 species